rnacentral:rRNA from 1 species
GACGAACGCUGGCGGCGUGCUUAACACAUGCAAGUCGAACGAUGAACCCGGAGCUUGCUCCGGUGGAUUAGUGGCGAACGGGUGAGUAACACGUGAGUAACCUGCCCUUGACUCUGGGAUAACUGCGGGAAACUGUAGCUAAUACCGGAUACGACCCUCGGCGGCAUCGCCAGGGGGUGGAAAGAACUUCGGUCAAGGAUGGACUCGCGGCCUAUCAGCUAGUUGGUGAGGUAACGGCUCACCAAGGCGACGACGGGUAGCCGGCCUGAGAGGGUGACCGGCCUCACUGGGACUGAGACACGGCCCAGACUCCUACGGGAGGCAGCAGUGGGGAAUAUUGCACAAUGGGCGCAAGCCUGAUGCAGCAACGCCGCGUGAGGGAUGACGGCCUUCGGGUUGUAAACCUCUUUUAGUAGGGAAGAAGCGAAAGUGACGGUACCUGCAGAAAAAGCACCGGCUAACUACGUGCCAGCCGCCGCGGUAA